UACGUAGGGUGCGCGCGUUGUCCGGAAUUAUUGGGCGUAAAGAGCUUGUAGGUGGUUUGUCGCGUCUGCUGUGAAAAUCCGAGGCUCAACCUCGGACUUGCAGUGGGUACGGGCAGACUAGAGUGUGGUAGGGGAGACUGGAAUUCCUGGUGUAGCGGUGAAAUGCGCAGAUAUCAGGAGGAACACCGAUGGCGAAGGCAGGUCUCUGGGCCACUACUGACGCUGAGAAGCGAAAGCAUGGGGAGCGAACAGG
rnacentral:rRNA from 1 species